rnacentral:ncRNA from 2 species
GGGGAAGUCCGGUGAGAGCCCGGCGCUGACCCGCAACGGUGUGCGCGACCGUGUGUCGCGUGAGCCCGAUCGCCC